ensembl:lncRNA
CAAAACACUUCCGUGGCGUCACUAAUAUGUGUCGCCUGAAACUGGCACAUGAGCAUACAAGAAAAACCCAACCACAGGCCGGGGGGGACACGCCUCCACGCCUCCUCGCGGCGGCGGAGGUCACAACGCCACAGGUCACAACGCCACGCGUAUUGGGGGAAGCAGAAUGAACGGACACUUUUGGAAUAUUUCCAGACAGCAGGAAGAUAAGCGGGCGACCGGGUUCAGCUGUGAAAUACCUAAAGUCUUCUCCACCACACUUCGCCUGUCGCCAAGGAAACCGCGACGCUAACGGCUCACCACCGCCCACCUGUGUGUGGACACGAUGCCUCGGAAACUGUCUCCAGCCACAAACCGGAGGAGCUGAACGGAGGAUGCGUGAGACCAUCGAGCAGCCGCGCCCUCACCCCAUCUGGGAUCACACAGCCGCAGCACAUGCCUUCUGAUUGAUUUAUUCAAGAUUAAUUGUUGCUUUGUCGGCUCAUUGCUUCCAACCGGUUCGCGUCAGAUGUCUGUGCUUUGCACUACAUUUGAACGCGGUGCAAACAAAGGGUCCUCCGCUCGUCUCGUCGCCACGAUGCAGCUACAGGUCGGCGCCAUGAAUUAGGCCACCAAUAAAGACAGACGAGUCUGGCCUCCAAGGCGAUUACAG